rnacentral:rRNA from 1 species
UACGUAGGGUGCAAGCGUUAAUCGGAAUUACUGGGCGUAAAGGGCGCGUAGGCGGCAAUUCAAGUCAGCUGUGAAAUCUCCGGGCUUAACUCGGAACGGUCAGCUGAUACUGCUUUGCUAGAGUGCAGAAGGGGCAAUCGGAAUUCUUGGUGUAGCGGUGAAAUGCGUAGAUAUCGGAAGGAACACCAGUGGCGAAAGCGGCUUCCUGGUCCAGCACCGACGUUCAGGCACGAAAGCGUGGGGAGCAAACAGG